CCUACGGGAGGCAGCAGUGGGGAAUUUUGGACAAUGGGCGCAAGCCUGAUCCAGCCAUGCCGCGUGUGUGAAGAAGGCCUUCGGGUUGUAAAGCUCUUUCGGCCGGGAAGAAAUCGCAUUGGUUAAUACCUGGUGUGGAUGACGGUACCGGAAUAAGAAGCACCGGCUAACUACGUGCCAGCAGCCGCGGUAAUACGUAGGGUGCGAGCGUUAAUCGGAAUUACUGGGCGUAAAGCGUGCGCAGGCGGUUUUGUAAGACAGGCGUGAAAUCCCCGGGCUUAACCUGGGAACUGCGCUUGUGACUGCAAGGCUAGAGUACGGCAGAGGGGGGUGGAAUUCCACGUGUAGCAGUGAAAUGCGUAGAGAUGUGGAGGAACACCAAUGGCGAAGGCAGCCCCCUGGGUCGAUACUGACGCUCAUGCACGAAAGCGUGGGUAGCAAACAGGAUUAGAUACCCUGGUAGUCCACGCCCUAAACGAUGUCAACUAGGUGUUGGGAGGGUAAAACCUUUUAGUACCGGAGCUAACGCGUGAAGUUGACCGCCUGGGGAGUACGGCCGCAAGGUUAAAACUCAAAGGAAUUGACGGGGACCCGCACAAGCGGUGGAUGAUGUGGAUUAAUUCGAUGCAACGCGAAAAACCUUACCUACCCUUGACAUGUCAGGAAGUCUUGAGAGGUUGAGAUGUGCCCGAAAGGGAACCUGAACACAGGUGCUGCAUGGCUGUCGUCAGCUCGUGUCGUGAGAUGUUGGGUUAAGUCCCGCAACGAGCGCAACCCUUGUCGUUAAUUGCCAUCAUUUAGUUGGGCACUUUAGCGAGACUGCCGGUGACAAACCGGAGGAAGGUGGGGAUGACGUCAAGUCCUCAUGGCCCUUAUGGGUAGGGCUUCACACGUCAUACAAUGGUCGGUACAAAGGGUCGCCAACCCGCGAGGGGGAGCCAAUCCCAGAAAGCCGAUCGUAGUCCGGAUUGCAGGCUGCAACUCGCCUGCAUGAAGUCGGAAUCGCUAGUAAUCGCGGAUCAGCAUGUCACGGUGAGUACGUUCCCGGGCCUUGUACACA
rnacentral:rRNA from 1 species